GUCAUGCUGCAAACAAGCUAACAAGCACCAAAGCUGAGUAGGAUCAGUAUGUAGAAGAAUCUAAGAGCUAGAUUAGAAUUGCAUCAAGUGUCUUCAUGUGGCAGUGCAUUUUGAAUUGUGGCUUGAGAGCCUGGCAAUCUUGUUUGAAAAUCCCAUCCUGCCAGCAAAUCGAUCCCCUGAGUCAUGGACACCUGCUGACUCCUGUGAUAGCUCAACUUAAAAGGCUCUGCUAGAUUGUUCCUGAAUUUUGAGAUGUGCAUUUAUAGUCCUCUCUCAGCUAUGAACAACAAUAUAGACUGAUUCACUGCAUUUUU